UACGGGGGGGGCAAGCGUUGUUCGGAAUUACUGGGCGUAAAGGGCGCGUAGGCGGCCUUCUAAGUCGGACGUGAAAUCCCUCGGCUUAACCGAGGAACUGCGUCCGAUACUGAAAGGCUUGAAUCCGGGAGAGGGAUGUGGAAUUCUAGGUGUAGCGGUGAAAUGCGCAGAUAGUCAGGAAGAACACCCGUGGCGAAGGCGGCUCUCUGGGACGGUACUGACGCUGAGACGCGAAAGCGUGGGGGGAGCGAA
rnacentral:rRNA from 1 species